ACAAGCGGUGGAGCAUGUGGUUUAAUUCGAAGCAACGCGAAGAACCUUACCAGGUCUUGACAUCCCGAUGCUAUUUCUAGAGAUAGAAAUUCCCUUCGGGGCUUUCUGCAAGGUGCUGCAUGGUUGUCGUCAGCUCGUGCCGUGAGGUGUCGGGUUAAGUCCCAUAACGAGCGCAACCCUUAUCGUUAGUUGCCAUCUGGUAAUGCAGGGGACUCUAGCGAAACUGCCACCGUAAGGUGAGAGGAAGUGGGGAUGACGUCAAAUCAGCACGGCCCUUAUGUCCAGGGCUACACACGUGUUACAAUGGUCGGUACAGAGGGCAGCUACCUGGUGACAGGAUGCUAAUCUCGAAAACCGGUCUCAGUUCGGAUCGAAGUCUGCAACUCGACUUCGUGAAGCUGGAUUCGCUAGUAAUCGCGCAUCAGCUAUGGCGCGGUGAAUACGUUCCCGGGCCUU
rnacentral:rRNA from 1 species